rnacentral:rRNA from 1 species
AUGAACGCUGGCGGCGUGCCUAAUACAUGCAAGUCGAGCGAACUGAUUAGAAGCUUGCUUCUAUGACGUUAGCGGCGGACGGGUGAGUAACACGUGGGCAACCUGCCUGUAAGACUGGGAUAACUUCGGGAAACCGAAGCUAAUACCGGAUAGGAUCUUCUCCUUCAUGGGAGAUGAUUGAAAGAUGGUUUCGGCUAUCACUUACAGAUGGGCCCGCGGUGCAUUAGCUAGUUGGUGAGGUAACGGCUCACCAAGGCAACGAUGCAUAGCCGACCUGAGAGGGUGAUCGGCCACACUGGGACUGAGACACGGCCCAGACUCCUACGGGAGGCAGCAGUAGGGAAUCUUCCGCAAUGGACGAAAGUCUGACGGAGCAACGCCGCGUGAGUGAUGAAGGCUUUCGGGUCGUAAAA